AGCAAGACUACUCCCUGAAUUUAAGCAUAUUAUUAAGGGAAGGAAAAGAAAAUAACUAUGAUACCCGCAGUAAUGGCGAAUGAAGUGGGUAAAGCUCAAGCUUAAAAUCUAGUCUCUUUUGAGAUUCGAAUUGUAGUGUAAAUUAACAUUAAUAUGGUCAUGAUAAUUGCCUAAGUGUGAACAUCUGAAUUUCCUAUCAAAGACGGUGAUAAUCCGGUAUGGUAGUUUGAUUGGCUAAAUAUUCUUGUUAUUUAAAGAGUCGAGUUGUUUGGGGAUUGCAACUCUAAUAAAGGUGAUAGAUUUCAUCUAAAGCUAAAUAUAUUAGGAAAACCGAUAGCAAAGAAGUACUGUGAAGGAAAGGUGAAAAGAACUUUGAAAAGAAGAGUUAAAAGUAGCUUGAAAUUGUUAAAAGGG
rnacentral:rRNA from 1 species